rnacentral:lncRNA from 1 species
ACCUGGACCCCUGCUUGUCCGCAGGGACCCCCGGGAGCAAGAGCAUGGAGCAGAGGCCGCAGGACAGGCCCAGCCCAGGUGCUGAUGUCCCACAGAGAGCGCCAGGUAAGGGGCGAGGAGCCAGAGGCCUGGGGCAGGGGUGGGCGCCCAGGGGAGCCAGGGAGCAACGAGGGGAGGGAAGGUUUGGGAACCUCCUAGGAUGUUCCAGACGGCGACUUCAGGCAAAUUUGCCUGCCAAGGUCCACCCAAGUGCUGACCACUGGUCCUCUCACCUCCAGGCAUGGCCACAGCGGAUAGUCUUCCCGAGAAGGUCAGAGAGAUGGACACUUCCGUAAGUCUUUAUAUUAGCUAUCUAUAGCUGCAUAACAAAGGACCCCGAAUUUAGCAGCUUAACAGAAUGUCUCCACUUCCCGGGUCAGGAGUUCAGGUGCAGCUGAGCUGGUGGUUCAGGCUCAAGGUCUCCCUCGUGGUGCCACGACCAGGGCCGCUGUCAGCUGAGAGCUUGGCGGGGGCUGGGGCCCACCUCCGAGGUGGCCGACUCCAACGGCUGUGGGCAGGAGGCCUCAGCUGUCCAUGGCAGCCGGCUCCCCAGGGCAGGGACCUGGGAGUGGGACCUGAGAGGGUGCGGCCGAAGCCGCCAUGGCUUUAUGAGCUGCCUUGGGAGGGACAGGCCACC